UACAGAGGGUGCGAGCGUUGUCCGGAAUCACUGGGCGUAAAGGGCGCGUAGGCGGCCUGAUAAGUAGGGGGUGAAAUCUUGCGGCUCAACCGCAAGGCUGCCUUCUAAACUGUCAGGCUGGAGCACGGUAGAGGCAGAUGGAAUUCCCGGUGUAGCGGUGGAAUGCGUAGAGAUCGGGAAGAACACCGGUGGCGAAGGCGGUUCUCUGGGCAUGACCUGACGCUAAGGAGCGAAAGUGUGGGGAGCGAACAGG
rnacentral:rRNA from 1 species